UUUCCGAAACCUCAGGGAGGUAUCUGUAAUUUAACCAAACCUCAAGGGGUGUAUAUGUAAUUUGCCCAUAAAAAAUUGAUUAUAACCAUCGUCUUACAAUAGACUUUUGCGGCCUACAUUUCAACCUCCCCGUCGGGAAACCAAUGGCCGGAGUUCUGAACUUCUCACCAUCUCCGAUUUUCAGACCAUUUCCGACUCAAUCACAACCAAAGACCAGAGUCUCUAUCAGAUCAUCCGCAGAAUCCUCAAAAACUCCCGUAGCGAGCACCAAAGAAGAACCAGAAUUAGGGUUUUCAGAUUCGUCUCCGGCAGUCUCUCCUCCACCAAACUUCAAGCCUCCGCAGCCGAAUUCAGUUCUCCGUGAGACCCGACAAACUCGUUGACAUCUUGGCAGCUUCUCCUGCUCCACUAAUUCGACUUGGGACUGGUAGUUCUGUCUCUGGGUAUUCAGCAUCUCUUGUGCCAAAGAGUGAGUUUCCACCUGACAAGUAUGCGCUUGAAAUUGCUGGUUUCAAGUUGAUGGAGACUUCAAAAUUAUUAGGUCCUUGCCCAGAGAAGCCUUUAGAGAUAUAUGAGUUUGAAAGGAACUUCAUUUUUAAAAUCAUCUUCUUCUUUUUAGGAUAUUGGUAGGCAUUAGUUGAUGUGGAUGCUGACUUUGAGUUUUAGACUGUUUUGGCCUCUUUGUUUUGUACGUUGAUGUGAUGAUUAUGACUAAAUGCCUUUGUGGCUUUC